GACGAACGCUGGCGGCGUGCUUAACACAUGCAAGUCGAACGGUGAACCGGGCUUCGGCCCGGGGAUCAGUGGCGAACGGGUGCGUAACACGUGGGCAACCUGCCCCAGACACUGGGAUAACCCCGGGAAACCGGGGCUAAUACCGGAUACUCCGGCCGGACCGCAUGAUCCGGUCGGGAAAGCUCCGACGGUCUGGGAUGGGCCCGCGGCCUAUCAGCUUGUUGGCGGGGUGACGGCCCCCCAAGGCGACGACGGGUAGCUGGUCUGAGAGGACGACCAGCCACACUGGGACUGAGACACGGCCCAGACUCCUACGGGAGGCAGCAGUGGGGAAUCUUGCGCAAUGGGCGAAAGCCUGACGCAGCGACGCCGCGUGGGGGAUGAAGGCCCUCGGGUUGUAAACCCCUUUCGGCAGGGACGAAGCGAUCGUGACGGUACCUGCAGAAGAAGCUCCGGCUAACUACGUGCCAGCCGCCGCGGUAAAAC
rnacentral:rRNA from 1 species